rnacentral:rRNA from 1 species
GACGAACGCUGGCGGCGUGCUUAACACAUGCAAGUCGAACGGAAAGGCCCUGCUUUUGUGGGGUGCUCGAGUGGCGAACGGGUGAGUAACACGUGAGUAACCUGCCCUUGACUUUGGGAUAACUUCAGGAAACUGGGGCUAAUACCGGAUAGGAGCUCCUGCUGCAUGGUGGGGGUUGGAAAGUUUCGGCGGUUGGGGAUGGACUCGCGGCUUAUCAGCUUGUUGGUGGGGUAGUGGCUUACCAAGGCUUUGACGGGUAGCCGGCCUGAGAGGGGGACCGGCCACAUUGGGACUGCGAUACGGCGCAGACGCCUACGGGAGGCAGCAGUGGGGAAUAUUGCACAAUGGGCGGAAGCCUGAUGCAGCAACGCCGCGUGCGGGAUGACGGCCUUCGGGUUGUAAACCGCUUUCGCCUGUGACGAAGCGUGAGUGACGGUAAUGGGUAAAGAAGCACCGGCUAACUACGUG